CCUCCGCGAGGAGGGGGCGACGAACAGGGAAGCGGAGACGGCGGCGGUCCCCACAGCAGCAGCAGCAGCAACAGCCGCCGCCGCCGCCUCAGCACUGAGCAGNAGGAGGCGAGAACGGGCCCAGGGUCUGGAGCUGAGUUCCCGUCACGGCGAAGGCCCUGGGCGGCCCACUAGGGGCCCGAGAGGGCUGCGCAUCACUACGCUCAGGUGCGACGAAGCGCCCAACCCGGGCAGCGGCGGCGGCGGCAGCAGCAGGCGGCGCCUCGAGGGAGCACGCGAGCGAAACGCUUUCCCCGUCGAGCAGCCAGACCCGCCUCCUGCUUCGCUCGCUGCCUGCUUGUGUCACCGCCGCCUCACUACCUCCUCCUCCCUCUCUGCUCGUUUUUGCUGGAAGAAGCAGAUGCCCCCCCAGGCCGGGCUCCUCACAAGAGGAGGAGGAGGGGGCAAAGCGGGCGGGAAAGCUGAGAUUGGGUAAACAGCUCUCCAGCCUGGCGUGGCGCUGCCAUUGGCUGAGCCGAAACACCACGGCGGCUGGGAGAAGAGGCGGCAGGCGAGGCGAGGAGGCGAGGCGAGGAGCAGCAAGGAAAUCGGGUGCGCGCUGCCGCUGCUGCUGUCACUGCCGUGGGAUGCGCCUCCGAGCGGUUUAAAGGCACCCACAAGAAAUUACCCCACAAGGACCUUAUAAAGAUACUCAUCACAGCCACCAAAACUGAAAUAGCUCAACAUUGGAAGUCUACAUCUCAACUCACUUCAACAAAAAGGAUGGACAGUCUGGUCUAUUGUUUUGUAUGAGUUAAUCUCUUUCCAAUGAUCUACUAUGCAAUGCUUUGAAGACUGUUCACUUUUUGUUCAUUGUUGGUCUCCAUUGGUAAAUGCAGCCCAUCAUGAUCCUGUGCUCUGUCCUAUACCUUCAUAUUCUUUGGCAUUUUAAAAUUCUAAACUUAAGUCAUGGUUUCCACAUCUCUCUUUCUUGAGUGUGGAGUCAGAUUCUUUAGUGCUCGAAUCUGUAUGUUUACAGAUUUAUAAUCGAUGUUCCUUAGUUUGUAUGGUUUUAUUGUUACAUUUUUUCCUGUUGUGGCUGUUCUUUUAUAUAAUAAAGUCUUAUUUUAAAAAAAAGACUUUCA
rnacentral:lncRNA from 1 species